AUGGCGCGGCACUUCGCGGCGGCGGGGGCGGGGGCGGGGGCGGUGCAGCGGUACUACUGCGGCGGCGCGUGCGACGGGCGGGACGACGGCGCGGUGCAGGCGAUGCUGCAGUGCCAGCGGGUGAGCGACUUCCUCAUCGCGGCCUCCUACCUCUCCAUCCCGCUCGAGCUGCUCUACUUCGCCUCCUGCGCCGACCUCGCGCCGCUCAAGUGGCUGCUGCUGCAGCUGGCCGCCUUCGCCGUGCUCGGCGGCGCCACCCACCUGCUCGCCGUCUUCUCCCUCGCCCACCCGCACUCCUCGGGCCUCCUCCUCGCCUCCACCGCCGCCAAGCUCCUCGCCGCGCUCGUCUCCUUCGCCACCGCCGUCUCCCUCGUCGCGCUCAUCCCGCGCCUCAUCCGCGCCAAGCUCCGGGAGGCGUUCCUGCGGGCCAAGGCGCGCCAGCUCGACCGCGACCUCGGCCUCAUCCGCCGCCGCGUCGAGGCCACCUCCCGCGUCGUCCGCAUGCUCACCCACCGCAUCCGCAGCUCCCCGCUCGACGCGCACUCCAUCCUCCACACCACCAUGCUCCACCUCGCCGACGCCCUCGAGCUCCACAGCUGCGCCGUCUGGAUGCCCGGCCGCGACGCCGGCGACGACCUCCACCUGGUGCACCAGCUCAGCCUCAGGGGCAAGGGCCCCGUCCGCGUCGUGCUCGGCUCGCAGGCUCCCAUCUCCCCGGGUGACCCGGACGUGAUCGACGUAAUGGCAAGCGAGGCCGCCAAGGUGCUCAGGCCAGGCUCGGAGCUCGCGACGGCGAGCAGCGGCGAGCUCCAGCCGCCGGGUGCCGUGGCUGCCAUACGGAUCCCCAUGCUCGAGGUCUCCAACUUCGACGGAGGAAAGACACCGGUGGCGAGCUCAUAUGCCAUACUGGUGUUGGCUCUUCGCAGCAAGGCAUCAGGCUCCGGUUCCAGAGAGUGGAGCGGCCAUGACCUGGAGGUUGUGCAGGUUAUCGCCGACCAGGUCGCCGUGGCGCUCUCUCACGCGGCGGUCCUAGAGGAGUGGCAGGCCAUGAGCGACAGGCUUGCCGAGCAGAACAGGGCCUUGCUGCACGCCAAGCAGGACGCGAUGAUGGCGACCGAGGGCAUCAACAGCAUCCAGAGCGCCAUGUGCGACGGCAUGCGAAGGCCGAUGUACUCCAUCAUCGGCCUGCUCUCCAUGGUGCGGCAGGCGGAGGACAUGCGCCCCGAGCAGAGGCUCGUGGCCGACGCCAUUGCCAGGACGAGCACCCUGUCGCUGGCACUGAUGAACGACGUCGACACGGAGACGUUGACGGUGAACCGCAUGCCGUUCGACCUGCGCUCCUUGAUGAGGGAGGCCAUGAGCGUCGCCGGGUGCCUGGCCAGCUGCGGCGGGGCUGGUUUCUCGUACCAGCUGGAGAACGCCUUGCCUGAGUGGGUCGUUGGCGACGAGACGAGGGUCUUCCAUCACCUGCUGCAAAUGGCGGGUGAUGUGCUCGGUCAGCGGCGCGAUGGAGCAGGGCGUCUCUCAUUCUCCAUCAAGAGCUGCAGUGCGGACCAAAAGGAUUGCAUCCCGGUGUGCCCAAAUCUGUCUGCAGGUUGUAGCAUAUGCGUUGAGUUUCAGGUUGCCAUGGAAAGAUCAACUGGAUGCAGCCAGCCACCCAGCAGCCCGGCCAGCUCUCAGAUCAACAUGUGCAAGAAGAUUGUGCAGAUGAUGAACGGUACCAUGCGGUCGGCAUCGGAUGGCGAAAGCAUCACCCUCAUCCUGCACUUCCAGCUGCAGCAAUCACGCGUGUGCCGAAGAACGUCGUCGUCCAUCCCUCACUUCAACGGCCUGAGGAUCCUGCUCACAGAUGGCGACGGCAUGAGCCGGGCGGUGACCCAGAAGCUCCUCGAGCAGCUCGGCUGCCAGGUCAUAUCGGUGUCGUCAGGCGCCCAUUGCCUGGCCUUGCUGGGGAGCGCCGGCUCCUCCUUCCAGCUCCUCCUCCUGGACCUUGACAUGGAUGCAUUUGAGGUGGCACUCCAGAUCAGGGGGCUCAAGAACAGGCGCUGGCUCCUUAUAGUUGCUGCUCUCGCCGUGACCGUCGACGACAACAUCCGUGAGAUGUGCCGCCACUCGGGGAUAAACGGCCUGAUCCAGAAACCCCUUACACUGACGGCGCUGGGAGCUCAGCUCCACAGAGUCCUUCGGAACUGA
rnacentral:rRNA from 1 species